rnacentral:tRNA from 1 species
GGAAGGUAUAGCUCAGUGGUAGAGCAUAUGCUUAGAACACAAGAGGUCCUGGGUUCAAUCCCCAGUACCUCCA